UGAGGAAUAUUGGUCAAUGGGCGCAAGCCUGAACCAGCCAAGUAGCGUGCAGGAAGACGGCCCUAUGGGUUGUAAACUGCUUUUAUACGAGAAUAAUUUGAUGCACGUGUGCGUUAUUGCAUGUAUCGUAUGAAUAAGGACCGGCUAAUUCCGUGCCAGCAGCCGCGGUAAUACGGAAGGUCCAGGCGUUAUCCGGAUUUAUUGGGUUUAAAGGGAGCGUAGGCCGUGGAUUAAGCGUGUUGUGAAAUGUAGACGCUCAACGUCUGAAUUGCAGCGCGAACUGGUUCACUUGAGUAUGCACAACGUAGGCGGAAUUCGUCGUGUAGCGGUGAAAUGCUUAGAUAUGACGAAGAACUCCGAUUGCGAAGGCAGCUUACGGGAGCACAACUGACGCUGAAGCUCGAAGGUGCGGGUAUCAAACAGGAUUAGAUACCCUGGUAGUCCGCACAGUAAACGAUGGAUGCCCGUUGUUAGUUCACUUAUGAAUUAGCGACCAAGCGAAAGCAUUAAGCAUCCCACCUGGGGAGUACGCCGGCAACGGUG
rnacentral:rRNA from 1 species